UACGAAGGGGGCUAGCGUUGCUCGGAAUCACUGGGCGUAAAGCGCACGUAGGCGGCUUUCUAAGUCAGGGGUGAAAUCCUGGAGCUCAACUCCAGAACUGCCUUUGAUACUGGAGAGCUAGAGUCCGGAAGAGGUGAGUGGAACUGCGAGUGUAGAGGUGAAAUUCGUAGAUAUUCGCAAGAACACCAGUGGCGAAGGCGGCUCACUGGCCCGAUACUGACGCUGAGGCACGAAAGCGUGGGGAGCAAACAGGG
rnacentral:rRNA from 1 species